rnacentral:lncRNA from 1 species
CUGAGAAUCUAUUAAAAUGGGAAUCCGACCAAUUGGUUUCUAAUAAUUCAGGAAGGAAAUUAUCAUAUUUCUACAAUUCAAUUAGAUGUUAAAUCUAGAAAUAUACUUUUUUGUGAUUGUCAAAGAUGUUUUUUUUUGUUGGAACCUACUCCCUUUUAUUUAAUUUUAAAGAGUGGAAUUGGUUAGUCGUCCAGUAACAAUAAUAGCAGUAAUAAAUUAAAUACUAUUUGAUGGAAGAAAAAGUUGAUUAGUUGUUCUUGUAUUAGACACAAAAAAGGUUCUUUCUUGGCUUAAUUACAAGGAUAAAGCUUUUUUUUAUAAAAAUUAUAAAUAGAAAAGGGGAAAGAAAAAAACGGCGGAAUACCAGUUUCGAGUGAUCUGAUACCCUCUUUCUUCUCGUUGUAGAUAUUAGAAGAAUGGAAACUCCUACUACUAAAUCUAAUGGAUUAAAAUGAAAGUAAAAAAGUAAAUGACAUUCUAAGGUCACUCUUUCUUCUUUUCUUCUAAACUGAAGAAGGAAAAUAGAACAAAUUAGAUACAAUAAAAAAAAACAAGGGGGGUUUUCAAAUAGAUAUUUUUC